rnacentral:lncRNA from 1 species
UGGGAGGAGCAGCGUUGUUUUGUGUAGUUCCCAUUUGGUUCAGAGGCCUGAGACAGAGGCAUCCUGCUCUGGUUUGACUCGUUUCUGAUAAGGCUCCUUGAGCAGGUCACUUCUUCUACCACUUGGGCUUCUCUUUUACAAAAUGGGGAUAAUCAUGUAUAAAUGACCAGGAUAGUGGUGAGGAUUCACCAAGAGCCCUUUGCAGUCAUUGAAGCGCUAUGCAAAUGUUAGUUCUGGGGAUUAAAAAUAAAAAGGAUUCACCUUACUAGAAAGACACAAGGUGUUUGCAUUUUGCAAUUUUGGUGACUUGCUGCCUUACUAGAAAAAAAAAUGAGCAUUUUCGAUUCUCAGCCCGGCUCUGUUGUUGCAUGUGAGCCAUUUGCAAACCCUGCUUGUCGGGUACAGCUUUGCAAAGUGGGAAGUGGUCUCUCUCGCCUUCAACUCUUCUUCUCUGAGAAGCUGUAAGGAUUAAUUGGAUGGUGUCCAUGCUGUCUGCCAGGAAGAUAGAAAGUGUGAAGUAUCAUCUGGAUGGGUUUGUUGCAGCAGCCUAGGAGGAAAGCAGCAGAGAAAGACAACCUGUGACCCUACUGAGCUGCAGGCAGAAGAAUCUUCUUUGUACUGCUCGAGGUCAAGAAUGUGUUUACCCCCUGGCCUAAUGCUCUGAACUUUUGCAUCUGAGUGCAGGACUUCAGGACCUCUGAAGGCCACCACGCAGUGGAAUGAAGCUCCCUAGCAGAAGCAACUGGAUUAAACGUGCAACAAGACCAGUCCACACCAGCCCCCCAAGUCACUGAACUCAAUGACAUCAUGCCCAGGCAGAGAAAGUCAACAGGCCUCUGGCCCGGGUCCCCUCCACUCCUCUCAUUUCUUCUGCCUCUCGCUGUUCUUAACCCAGGGACAGUAUUUAGAAAGCAGAGCGGGUUCAGGCAGCCCUCUCAAUUACUUUGGCUGGAACCUUCCUGAGUACAUUUUGCUAUCUCUUUGUGAUGUAAACAGGGGCAUUCACAGUUGGCAGGGGAUGCUCUUUCUGUUUUAAUUACACAUGGCAUAAUUAUAGUCCCAGGGUCUGGAAACAGCACAAAGUUCUUUGGAGAACUUCAUAGGGAUUUUUCUGUUAUGACAUAGUUUAUCAGGAGAAAAAAAAGUAAGGCAAAAGACAUUUCCAAAGAGGAACGAACAACACUAUUUAUACUAGCAUUCCAUUCCCUAAUGAGCAGAUCACAAAAUUGGAGUAGACAUUUUUUCUGGAGGCGGGGGUGGAGUUUCAAAAUUUUGGACUCAUGGACAGUGGUGGCAAAAUCUAGAUAAAUACUAAUGAAUGGAUGUGGGUGGAGAAGGAUAUAUACGUAAAUUUUUUUUACUUAAGAAAGCAAUUAGAAGGCAUCCAGCUGUAUCUGAGGGAAUUUGCACGUACCCUGGACCCUGAGGAUAUGGAAAAAGAUUCUACCAUAGUCAUAGUAAUCUGGCCUAAACCUGAGUCGUAAAAUUCUCUCUGCCCCCAGAUGUGCAGUAUGAGGGCACUUCAUUACUCUGCUGAUGUAGUGAGAAAUCGCAGAACUGCCAUGGUAAUGGAGAGUGCAGUGACAGAGAUGGGGAGAGACGGCUGUUUCUCUGUUAUGAAACAUGUUUUCAUAGGUAAUUCUGAUGUACAGUAGGUAUUAAAUAGAGCAACGAAAAGAUGUUUUAUUUUAGAUUACUGCUAGAGUGAUAUUUCCCCCAUGGCACUAAUAAUCUGGCUGCUUUCUAAAGCCUAUUUCCUCUCCCAGUUUCUCAUAGACUCCCAGCACUGUUUUGGCAGAAGGGUAAGCCAUUGCAUUGAAAUUUCUGCCUUGGAAAAGUAGAAGAUCAACUUUAUAUAUUAUGCAUUUUAUAUUUAGACUAGAGGGACAUGGUGCAUUUUUUUCUGGUGGGGAGGAAGAUAUUAAAUAAGUUCUGCUUUUGCAAUGUAGAGAUAGGAAUAUAUAUAGGGGGUAAAAAUAUUUCAAGAACGGCUUUUUGUAAUUGAGUGAUUUUUUUUUUUCUAAGACAGAGUCUUGCUCUGUUGCCCUGGCUGGAGUAUAGUGGCACAAUCUUGGCUCACUGCAACCUCCGCCUCCCAGGUUUGAGCGAUCCUCCUGCCUCGGCCCCCCUAGUAGCUGGGAUUACAGGCACGCACCACCAUGCCCAGCUAAUGUUUGUGUUUUUAGUAGAGACAGGGUUUUGCCAUGUUGGCCAGGCUGGUCUCAAACUCCUGACCUCAGGUGAUCCACCUGACUUACCCUCCCAAAGUGUUGGGAUUAUAGGCGUGAGCCACUGUGCCCAACCUCGAGUGAUCAUUUAAGACACCCCUGUAUGCAUGCAUGCUGGUUUGAAAUCCAGGGGACACACCACUUCAGCCUAGCCUCUCUGCUGUCUGUAUCACGGAGGACUCACAGACCUAGUUUAAUUGUAUGCUUCUUACAUAUUUCAAGGCUGACACAGGAACAGCAAUAAGAGGCCUGUGGUUGAAACCACAUCGUUUUCAUCACAGUGGAAAAAAAAUAAGGUCAUUGCAGGUUUGGAGCAUGGUUAGGUUUGAGCCUGCCCACAUUAUUUUAUUCAUGUUAAAAUAUAAAGAGAUGGCCGGGCGCGGUGGCACACGCCUGUAAUCCCAGCACUUUGGGAGGCCGAGGCGGGCGGAUCACGAGGUCAGGAGAUCGAGACCAUCCCGGCUAAAAAAACGGUGAAACCCCGUCUCUACUAAAAAUACAAAAAUUAGCCGGGCGUAGUGGCGGGCGCCUGUAGUCCCAGCUACUUGGGAGGCUGAGGCAGGAGAAUGGCGUGAACCCGGGAGGCGGAGCUUGCAAUGAGCCGAGAUCGCGCCACUGCACUCCAGCCUGGGCGACAGAGGGAGACUCCGUCUCAAAAAAAAAAAAAAAAAAAAAAAAAAAAAAAAAUAUAUAUAUAUAUAUAAAGAGAUGAGAAACAUAUUGAACGAGAGGACAGAAGUUAAUUUAUUUCUGGGCCUUCCCCUCUCUGCAAUAUCCUCCCACCCACUUUUAGCUGGAGGGUGAGCCCUCUCUGCCAGCCCUUCUCCCCCUCCACCUUUGGGGUUUUGUUUUUCUUUUUUUUUUUCAAUUUGUUAAGAUGCUGAAAUCUGCUUUGUGUGAUUUAUGAAGGAACUUGAAGCGAUUAGUUUCACAGUGCAUGAAAAUUCCUCAGGUUCAGGGGGGGAUGGCCAAUCUGUUACACUGUUUGCCGUGGACUGGGUGGGAACUUGAGCAGCUCGGAGCCAUAAGGAGAUUGUGUUGAGUUAUUAAACACUUGUGGUAAAGCUGCUUAUUGUUAAUUCCCCGAUGUCCUGCUGAAGCGAUAGGAUAAAAUCAGAUCGGAUUAGAUCAAAGAGCCUGGGAGCCAGCCUUUGGAGCAGAUUCAUUUAAUCAAUAAAGAGACCUCCUGAGAGACAGGGAGAGAAUGGGCAGUGCUGGUGGCUCAGGGAUUAAGACCGGGUUGGGGGAGUUAUGGGAAAGAAACAACAGUUUAUACAUAGAUAUUUCUCCCCUUUUUUAGAGGUGUAAUUCUCUUCUCAAAUAUUUUAGCCACACUCAGCAAAGUGUAUAAACAUUUCUUUAAGAUUCCAUGACUCCAACCCUCCAUUGCUCCAAAAAUGCCCUAUAAGUCAGGAAGUUAGAGAGAAAAAAACCACCAAAAAAACAACUUCUGUUCCAUAAAAGGUAUUUCAACAAAAGCAAUUUAGGCUUAAGUGAUUCCCCAAGAAACAUUAAUCCUUUAUGAGUCAAUCUGCAAAAUUUCCUAUUGUUCUUUUGUGAGGAGAAAUAAUAGAGAAACACCAAAAGGCCAAAGUCUAGCUCCACCCCGCUCUUUGUAUUCUCCUCACUGCCCACCUCCCAGCCCCCACCAGUAAUUAUAAGGCAUUGUGUAUUAAGAGGUAUGAUGUGGCUUCCUUCAUCCAUGAUUAACACUUACACCAAUGCAUAUUCAUUCAUCUCUUAGCCCUACCAAACCCUGCUAAAAUGAGGACUUGCCAAUAAGGAAGUCACACCCAUUAGAAAGUUAACCACAGAAAAUGAGAGAAAAAAUGAAGGAUAGAGCAAAUUAAGGAUGCGAGUCCCUCAAUGGUUAUUGGCCUUAAUGGUGUUAUAAAAAUGAUGUCGGCUUUUACCAGGAAUAAUUUAUAUUCUGAAUUAAAUAAGGAUAUGUAUCUAUAAAUCCAUUCUAUAAAACUUAAUUUUCCAUCUAGAUAGGCUGAUUACUUUGGGCUCGGCAUACCUUUACCGGUUGUUAAUUACUGCGGGAUGGUUUAACACUAUUUUCCAAAUCAGCAUGCAUGCAUAAAAUGACUGCAAUCCAAUUUGACACAUUAUUAGUGAUGAUUAUUGUCAUAGAUAAAUUAGAUUGAACAGAAAAUAACCUUCAUCCUUAGCAUGUUUUAGCUCUCAGAAUUAAUGUGAUUUGGUGAACACAUAUAAAUAAAAAUCUGACGAGUCCCUGCUGACUACAGGGCCUGUUGGUGCUGAAGUGUAUCAAUUUCAUGCAGAUGAUGAAUUCCUUAAGCAUUCAGUGAUAAUCAUGCUUGAUUUGACAAGACUUUCUCAUGCUAUUUUAGGGCCUUAAUUUUCUGUGAAGUUCUGUCAAGUGCUCAUCAAGCACCCACUUAUCUCCGUAUCUUAACCUGGCAGCCAAUCACAAGGUUGCCUAACAGUACAGCUACGGAGUGCCAGCCCAUUAAUAUUCGGGUCACGUGACUGUCCAAGGAGAGAAACCAAUCAAUGGCUGAUUAACAUUCAGGUCACAUGACUCCCGAGGAGAGUAAAUGAGUUACACAGUAAGACAUCAAACAAAUUUUCAUCUUGAAAGAGUGAUUGCUUUUUCUGCUGCUGUGAUGUUUGUCAAAUUCGCUCUAGCCUUGUCCAAUUAAGCUCCAUGAGCUGAAUUAAUAAUGAAGAGAUGUAAGCACCGAGCCAGCAUGAGCGCUGCGAUCUGUGCCACGUAAUAAGAACUGCUUAAAAAAAAAAAAAAAAAAAUCCUACAAUGAUUGAAAAAUCACAUCUGGAUAACUGGAAUAAUUGCUUUUGCAAUCUUGAUGCUGUUUUGUAAUCUCCAGUGCAAAGUGUGAACUGGAGUAUGCUGGGACAUGGCACUGAGCUGGCAUUGUACUUCAAAGAUGAAUGUGUUCUUGAGUUUAGAAUGAUUUUAAAGGCAUUACACAAAUACAUGUUAAUUGGAUUAUUGUUUGUGACCAUAGUAAUGAAUUUCAUUUGCACACUCAAUUAUGCUCUGGGGCUUUCUGGAGGUAUGAUCUUUCAAGGUUUUUUAAACUGGCUCAUGCCUGUAAUCCCAGCACUUUGGGAGGCCG